CCCGGGAUAAAUUUCAAUUUGAAUUAUUUUAUUAUUCUAAUACAUUUUUCAUAUUAACUUGAAAAUCAAAGUGCCUUAUACAAAUAUCUAAACUAAGGCACUUUUAUUUGCCAAAAUAUUUCUCAUCCAGUAAAAUACUAAAAUAAUAGAAACCUUUUUUCAUCUUCGUUGCGACGAGCUAUACUUCGGUCAGACAUAUUAAUACAAGAACAAUAACAAAAGGAACUAACUAAGGCCAUUAUUAUGAAGGUAACUUAGGUAGGGAAAUAUCAAGGGUUUUUGGGGGCAUUGCAAUUUGGGUCGUAAUCAUAGUAAAAGCAAUCACAAAUUUUAGUAUUAUAGCAAAAGCCACUGGUAAAUCCCAAUUCAGCAUGUGCAUACUUCCGAAUACACAAAUGAUAGCACUCCGGUUGGCUGCAAUGUUCAACGGUUUCUCUUGCUUCACAAUAAUGAACAUCAGGUCUUGCCGUUGCUAAUAAUAAUCCACAAUAAUCUGCAUCAACAAACAUAUAUAUGCAUGUAAUCUUCAUGUAUUAUUUUUUAUUUAUUUAUUGCAAUUGUACAAUAGUGUAUAUGUAUUAUUACAUACCAGAGUCAAAGGAGAGAACAAGAAGCAAAACAAUGAUAAAUCUUGGCAGAGUUUGCUUCAUCAUUGUUCCCGGCUUCACAGUUAUUAAGAUUUAGAUUGAUUAUACAUGGAGUGAUGAAGAGAUAUAUAUAUAUAGCUGUAUCAAAGAUGUGAUUUUGAUAAACCAAACUUUUCUCUUAUAGGUAAGUG
rnacentral:lncRNA from 1 species